rnacentral:rRNA from 1 species
UACAUGGGGUGCAAACGUUGCUCGGAAUUAUUGGGCGUAAAGCGCGCGUAGGCGGUUACUCAAGUCGGAUGUGAAAUCCCUGGGCUCAACCCAGGAACUGCGUCCGAUACUGGUUGGCUUGAAUCCGGGAGAGGGAUGUGGAAUUCCAGGUGUAGCGGUGAAAUGCGUAGAUAUCUGGAGGAACACCGGUGGCGAAGGCGACAUCCUGGACCGGUAUUGACGCUGAGGCGCGAAAGCCAGGGGAGCAAACGGG